UUAUUUUUUAAUCUCAACCAAUAUAUUAGAUAAUAGAGAAUAAAAAAAGAUGAGAAAUAAUGAUGCCACAAAUCUUAAAUAUUUAAUGUUUAUGGAGUUUGAAGAAGCCAAAAGGCACUAAACAAAAGAUUGAAUAAUUAAAUAUGGGAUUAUGAUAUUAAAAUUAGGCUCUAAUGACAUUAUUGAGGGAAGAUGAAAGAACCUUCCUUCCUAUAUUAAUUAAUUGAUGUAUUUUAAACCACUAAAAUUUAAUUGUUGGCAUAAUAAAAUAAAUGAAUCUUUCAAGACUUAUAAUUAAUUAUUAUUAAUGGUUACAUAUUGUUCAAUUUAAAUAGAAAGAG
rnacentral:lncRNA from 1 species